ensembl:lncRNA
GUUUGGUUGGUCUAUUGGUAUUAUGUUUUGCUCUUGCUUCUACCAUAUACCAGACUCGUUAUUCUGAAGCAAACGUAUGGAAAGAGAAGCUUGAAAAAGAAGCUUGCUGCCAGAGAAUUAGCAUCAGGGACUAGUUGAGACUAGAGCAUCUGUGUGCAUCAGGACAUCAAGUCCCACACGGUCACGGGGAGCCUGCAGUCUAUCCCAGGGGACUCGGGGCAUGAGGCAAGAGGUAGGGGACAACCCUUCCACAGAGCACAAUCACACACCCUUUCACAGAUGCCAAGCUGCCUACAAGGCAUGUCCCGGAAGCAUGGGGAGAACAUGCAAACUCUGCACAUACAAGGCGGAAGUGGGAAUUGAAUCUCCAACCCCAAGGUUCCAGAGUCUGGAGGAAGAGUGGAGAGGAACAGAAUCCAAGUUGCUUGAAG